rnacentral:rRNA from 1 species
UACGUAGGGGGCUAGCGUUGUCCGGAAUCAUUGGGCGUAAAGAGCGUGUAGGCGGCCCGGUAAGUCCGCUGUAAAAGUCAAAGGCUCAACCUUUGAAUGUCAGUGGAUACUGUCGGGCUAGAGUCCGGAAGAGGCGAGUGGAACUCCUGGUGUAGCGGUGAAAUGCGUAGAGAUCAGGAAGAACACCGGUGGCGAAGGCGGGUCUCUGGGCAGUAACUGACGCUGAGGAGCGAAAGCGCGGGGAGCGAACAGG